GCUGGCGGCGUGCCUAAUACAUGCAAGUAGAACGCUGAAGAGAGGAGCUUGCUCUUCUUGGAUGAGUUGCGAACGGGUGAGUAACGCGUAGGUAACCUGCCUUGUAGCGGGGGAUAACUAUUGGAAACGAUAGCUAAUACCGCAUAACAAUGGAUGACACAUGUCAUUUAUUUGAAAGGGGCAAUUGCUCCACUACAAGAUGGACCUGCGUUGUAUUAGCUAGUAGGUGAGGUAAUGGCUCACCUAGGCGACGAUACAUAGCCGACCUGAGAGGGUGAUCGGCCACACUGGGACUGAGACACGGCCCAGACUCCUACGGGAGGCAGCAGUAGGGAAUCUUCGGCAAUGGGGGCAACCCUGACCGAGCAACGCCGCGUGAGUGAAGAAGGUUUUCGGAUCGUAAAGCUCUGUUGUAAGUCAAGAACGGGUGUGAGAGUGGAAAGUUCACACUGUGACGGUAGCUUACCAGAAAGGGACGGCUAACUACGUGCCAGCAGCCGCGGUAAUACGUAGGUCCCGAGCGUUGUCCGGAUUUAUUGGGCGUAAAGCGAGCGCAGGCGGUUUGAUAAGUCUGAAGUUAAAGGCUGUGGCUCAACCAUAGUUCGCUUUGGAAACUGUCAAACUUGAGUGCAGAAGGGGAGAGUGGAAUUCCAUGUGUAGCGGUGAAAUGCGUAGAUAUAUGGAGGAACACCGGUGGCGAAAGCGGCUCUCUGGUCUGUAACUGACGCUGAGGCUCGAAAGCGUGGGGAGCGAACAGGAUUAGAUACCCUGGUAGUCCACGCCGUAAACGAUGAGUGCUAGGUGUUGGAUCCUUUCCGGGAUUCAGUGCCGCAGCUAACGCAUUAAGCACUCCGCCUGGGGAGUACGACCGCAAGGUUGAAACUCAAAGGAAUUGACGGGGGCCCGCACAAGCGGUGGAGCAUGUGGUUUAAUUCGAAGCAACGCGAAGAACCUUACCAGGUCUUGACAUCCCGAUGCUAUUUCUAGAGAUAGAAAGUUACUUCGGUACAUCGGUGACAGGUGGUGCAUGGUUGUCGUCAGCUCGUGUCGUGAGAUGUUGGGUUAAGUCCCGCAACGAGCGCAACCCCUAUUGUUAGUUGCCAUCAUUCAGUUGGGCACUCUAGCGAGACUGCCGGUAAUAAACCGGAGGAAGGUGGGGAUGACGUCAAAUCAUCAUGCCCCUUAUGACCUGGGCUACACACGUGCUACAAUGGUUGGUACAACGAGUUGCGAGUCGGUGACGGCGAGCUAAUCUCUUAAAGCCAAUCUCAGUUCGGAUUGUAGGCUGCAACUCGCCUACAUGAAGUCGGAAUCGCUAGUAAUCGCGGAUCAGCACGCCGCGGUGAAUACGUUCCCGGGCCUUGUACACACCGCCCGUCACACCACGAGAGUUUGUAACACCCGAAGUCGGUGAGGUAACCUUUUGGAGCCAGCCGCCUAAGGUGGGACAGA
rnacentral:rRNA from 1 species